AAUCAACGCUGGCGGCGUGCCUAACACAUGCAAGUCGAACGAGAAAGGGGACUUCGGUCCCUGAGUACAGUGGCGCACGGGUGAGUAACACGUGACUUAUCUACCCUCGAGUGGGGAAUAACUUCGGGAAACCGAGGCUAAUACCGCAUAAUACCCACGGGUCAAAGGAGCAAUUCGCUUGAGGAGGGGGUCGCGGCCGAUUAGUUAGUUGCGGGGUAAUGGCCCCACCCAAGACGGUGAUCGGUAUCCGGCCUGAGAGGGCGCACGGACACACUGGAACUGAAACACGGUCCAGACUCCUACGGGAGGCAGCAGUGGGGAAUUUUGCGCAAUGGGGGAAACCCUGACGCAGCAACGCCGCGUGGAGGAUGAAGUCUCUUGGGACGUAAACUCCUUUCGAUCGGGACGAUUAUGACGGUACCGGAAGAAGAAGCCCCGGCUAACUUCGUG
rnacentral:rRNA from 1 species